AUCUUGGUAGCUUAGACGGUAGAGCACUGGGCUAGCGAUCUAGUGUCCGUGAGUUCAAGUCUCACCCAAGACA